CUAGGAUCCUAAGAUCUGUUUCUUCAUAUCCAAUUCCUCACUGAGACUUCUUUCUGAAAGUAUAUCAAGCUAGCCCAACUGCUGGGUCUCUCUUGUGAGGACUGUACUGCAGCUAUCACAGACUUUGCCUCAUAACAAACUCAGAACUGACUGGUGAACAAGGCUUCUCAAGAAUUAAUGGGUUCGGCUUCUUUCAUUCCAACAUUUAAUAAUGACACACUCUGCAUGGCUUUUCUUUGUGACCUGUCCUCUAUUUUUUUCUUUCCAAUAUUCUGACUUGUAUCAACAGUACUUUAACUACUGACCAAAAGGAGGGCAUAGCAAAUGUUAUUUAUUUUAUUUUAUUUUAUUUAAG